AACCUAAUGGAAACUCGAUAAAGCUUCACAUCUCUUUAUUUUGUGCAGGGUUUGAUUUUUCAAACAACAUCAGGUUGAUUUCUCAAUUUGGUGUGGUUAUUAGGGUUCAUCAGGUUGAUUUCUCAAUUUGGUGCGGUUAUUAGGGUUUGAUUUUACAAACUUCAUCACG